AUACGUAGGGGGCGAGCGUUGUCCGGAAUGAUUGGGCGUAAAGGGCGCGUAGGCGGCCCGGUAAGUCUGGAGUGAAAGUCCUGUUUUUAAGAUGGGAAUUGCUUUGGAUACUGUCGGGCUUGAGUGCAGGAGAGGUAAGUGGAAUUCCCAGUGUAGCGGUGAAAUGCGUAGAGAUUGGGAGGAACACCAGUGGCGAAGGCGACUUACUGGACUGUAACUGACGCUGAGGCGCGAAAGUGUGGGGAGCAAACAGGAUUAGAUACCCUGGUAGUCCACACUGUAAACGAUGAAUGCUAGGUGUAGGGGGUAUCGACCCCUUCUGUGCCGCAGUCAACACAAUAGGCAUUCCGCCUGGGGAGUAUGGCCGCAAGGUUGAAACUCAAAUGAAUUGACGGGG
rnacentral:rRNA from 1 species